rnacentral:lncRNA from 1 species
AAGAUAUUUGUCUUAUAUUUCAAACCAGAAAUAUUUUUAUCAAAUUAUUCUUGUCAAUAAAUUUGACACUUGUAUCAUUUAUCAUACAUCUUAAAUGCAAAUAUUUUGUUAGUUUUUAAACAGCCCUGGUUAUGUUAAAAAUGAAAUGUGCACCAAAAAGACAAAAAGCUUGGGCUGUAAUCUUUUUGAUUUUGUUUGUAUUGAAGCAAUUACAAACAGGCCAGAAUGUGGAUUCAUUGUGGAUUCAUUUUACAUAAUUAAUUAACUGUUAGUAGGCUUUCUAGAUACAAAUGAACUCACUGAAACCCCUCAUAUAUCUAAAUUGUUGAUUUGUGAUUAAUAGAAACUAAAAUAUCAUAUGUGCAAAACCUUCAAUUAGAUGUCAGGGAGAAAGUGCAGUAGUCUAUAUGUAGUAUGUCCUACAUACCAAAGAGCUGUUCAAACAGCCGUGGUUGGGCAAGCAGACUGUCUUUACACAUGUCCUCUCUUCCUUGGUGUCCUUGUUUUCCUCUUUCCUUUCCUGGGUAAAGCACCAGCAGAACCUUGUUGCCAGACCUUCUCUCAGCCAUUUUUGAAGAACUAUCUGACCUGUGGGAUGGUUGGGUCGUCCAGCCAGGUUUCCAGAAACCUCCACAACAAAAGUCUUCCCAGCCUGCACUGUAUAUGGAGAGGUGGACAGACGGAUGCUACGCAGAAAUGGCCCUUCAGUCCUGUAGAGUCCCACAGUCCCCCGUCCACCUCCAACAGGCAGCGUGCAGAGCAGGUUGGAGGGUCAAGGUCAUGGGCACCCAUGGGUGUAUAA